rnacentral:lncRNA from 1 species
UCCCCUGCUUCCUCUUCCUUGCUGUUAUUAGGUUGAUAAUUAUGACAAAAGUGAUGGAGUCCAUCUGUUCUCCAGACUGGGCUAGAUCUGCUAAAAAUCAUUCCUGGACUCGGCAGACCAUUGGGUCGCUGCUCACGUGCACUGCAUUACUCUUCUGUAGACCUUCUUUGCUGAACAGAUUCCAAAGGAAGCAAGCAAUUGAAUAUUAUAAACAAGUGAUACAAAUAAAGGAAAAUGCGGGGACUUUCGCCAACUCCUCACUCGUCAGGAAGCAGCUAAGCAUUAGCCUCAGUGACACCUUGUGUAAAUUAGAAAGCUAUUGAAAAAUAAAAACAACUGGCCAUCUCAGUGGCUGCACUGCCUUUAAUGCCAGAAUAUUUCCCUGUACGUGAGGCAGUCUGGCUCACAGCUGUCUACCAAGUCCUCCUAAUCUUGGACUUCCCUUUCCUGGUAAUUUUGAAAAGAAGAGAGAAAACAGGCAGAAGUUCUUGCAAAGGGUGUUCUUUUUCAAAUAAAAGGCAAAGUCAUACUAGGAAAGACAUCUUUUGUCCUUCCCUAUUCUUUUUUUCCGGGAAUGUAGACGCAAUGCCAGGCGGUAAGAGCCGCCAUCUUGGGACGAUGUGGAUGGAUGUCACAAGCCAAGGACGGUGGAGGAGAAAGGUGGAAAGAGCCCGGUUUCUGAAGAGCCUGUUAGGACUCACGCCUGCCUUGGAGUGUCGAUGUGUGGGCUUCUUUUCAUGUGAAUUAAAUAAACUCCUUGCUUUGUUUAAAUCACUCUAGAAAGGUUUUCUGUUACAAAUGAACAUAAUCCUAAUCCAUUUAACCAACGUUGUUAGAAAUAUAGAGAAG